rnacentral:rRNA from 1 species
GGCUCAGGACGAACGCUGGCGGCGUGCUUAACACAUGCAAGUCGAACGAUGAACCACUUCGGUGGGGAUUAGUGGCGAACGGGUGAGUAACACGUGGGCAAUCUGCCCUUCACUCUGGGACAAGCCCUGGAAACGGGGUCUAAUACCGGAUAACACUUCCACUCUCCUGAGUGGUGGUUAAAAGCUCCGGCGGUGAAGGAUGAGCCCGCGGCCUAUCAGCUUGUUGGUGAGGUAAUGGCUCACCAAGGCGACGACGGGUAGCCGGCCUGAGAGGGCGACCGGCCACACUGGGACUGAGACACGGCCCAGACUCCUACGGGAGGCAGCAGUGGGGAAUAUUGCACAAUGGGCGAAAGCCUGAUGCAGCGACGCCGCGUGAGGGAUGACGGCCUUCGGGUUG